rnacentral:tRNA from 1 species
GGUCUUAUCGUCUAACGGUUAGGACAGGAGACUUUCAAUCUUCUAAUCGGGGUUCGAUUCCCCGUAAGACCGCCA